UGGUCCUGAGGUGCAAAACACAAUGGCAAAUCAGAAAACACAACACAAAAAGAGAAAACACAAUGGUUAACGUUGUUGUGUUUUCUGAUUUGCCGUUGUGUUUUGUACGUCAGGG